ensembl:lncRNA MPDU1-AS1 MPDU1 antisense RNA 1
CGCUCUUUCUGACGCUACCCACCCUCACUCUAGUGGCGUAAAAUAAGUCUCAGUCAGGGACCACGUUUUGGACGCGCUGUUGGAAUUGUAAAGCUUGCCGAAGCUGCACGCCUGCGCGGUUAGACCUCCCACGCCUUUGUUGACGCUUCCAGUUUGGAAGCCAGAUUUACACCCCUGCCUUUCUCCGCUCCUCCUGCUGGGCGCCAUCUUGUCUUCUCCUAGCACACUUUGUAUUGUUCGAAGUUGAGAGAGAAGGAGCCGGAGUCUCCGAGGUGGCGUUGGGUGGGGGCGCUACUAGCUCCCGUUCUCUCAGCGUCUCUAGAGGGAAGGGCGCCGGUGGGAGCAGGAGAGUCUGCACCGGGCAGGCCUCCUUAGGUGCCGGGUUGCGCGCAGGGCCCUGUGCUUGUCUCGCCUCCGGUUGGCUCAGGCCUCGGAGCAUGAGUGCGCCGGCAACUGCUGGGCCCGGGACAGUGAAGCAGAGGAGGAGGUGGGGGAGGCGAGCCCAGGUCGGGGAAGGGCAGCACCUGAAUCACCCUUGGGGCCCAGACCCCCAAGAGUCUCCGGGGAGCCGAGGCCUGGCGAGGCAGUCCCGGGAUUCGCCCCCUCCCCGCUGGCCCGAGGGCGCACCACGUGCUGGGCAGAGACUUCGGCGAGGCCGAGUGGACCCUGCAGCGCUGCUUGGGAAAGGGCACCUUGGACUACCUGGUGGGGGCGUUGUGCUUCGUUACCGACCGCCGGGACGCCAACCCACGGUGCCCACCCGUGCGUCAUUCCGCUGUGGAUCAGCCCUUUGGCGGCCCCCCUCCAAAGUCUACAAGGUCACACGGAUGUCUGCAGGCAGAGGUGGGGCUGCUGGGGCCCUGCCAGGUGGGAUAGGAGCAUGCCAGGUGCUGCGAGGGUUUAAUCGGGCUCUUCUGCUGGCCUUGAAUAUGGUGGACAGGACAGGACAUUCUCAUUGCUCAGGAGCCACUGGCGCUGCCUUUGGGAAUGAAGUUCCACAGCCCCCCACUCAUUGCUUUGGCUGUCUGCUGCAUUUGAAACUGUACGAGGGUCAGGAAGAAGGCUGCGGGGAUGAAUGGCUCUACCGGCUUGCCACGGAUGGGGAACUGGAGCAGCCAGUGGCCCCAAGAGGAGGAAGGAAGGGAGGCACGGCAGACCCAACACCAGCUGUGCCAGGCUUUGGGGGGUGAACCCAUGAGGCAUCGUCACACACUGACAUUUUCAUCCCUCCUCAGCAGCUGCUUCCGGCUCCCUGAGACCCAGCCAUGGAAGGCAUAGAAAGGCAUGUGACAAGAAACUCAUGGCUUUUAAUCCUGGCAGGACAAGGAAAACCCCGUCAAAGAUUUGCAUAAAUUUUGCUGCUCUCCUGCUGGGGGGGGGGGGGGGGCAGUUCGUCACAUUUAAUAAAAUUCUCUCCCUCCCUUCUCCCGAC